GAUGAACGCUGGCGGCGUGCCUAAUACAUGCAAGUAGAACGCUGAAGGAGGAGCUUGCUUCUCUGGAUGAGUUGCGAACGGGUGAGUAACGCGUAGGUAACCUGCCUGGUAGCGGGGGAUAACUAUUGGAAACGAUAGCUAAUACCGCAUAAGAGCAGUUGUUGCAUGACAGCUGUUUAAAAGGUGCAAUUGCACCACUACCAGAUGGACCUGCGUUGUAUUAGCUAGUUGGUGAGGUAACGGCUCACCAAGGCGACGAUACAUAGCCGACCUGAGAGGGUGAUCGGCCACACUGGGACUGAGACACGGCCCAGACUCCUACGGGAGGCAGCAGUAGGGAAUCUUCGGCAAUGGGGGCAACCCUGACCGAGCAACGCCGCGUGAGUGAAGAAGGUUUUCGGAUCGUAAAGCUCUGUUGUAAGAGAAGAACGAGUGUGAGAGUGGAAAGUUCACACUGUGACGGUAUCUUACCAGAAAGGGACGGCUAACUACGUGCCAGCAGCCGCGGUAAUACGUAGGUCCCGAGCGUUAUCCGGAUUUAUUGGGCGUAAAGCGAGCGCAGGCGGUUAGAUAAGUCUGAAGUUAAAGGCUGUGGCUUAACCAUAGUACGUUUUGGAAACUGUUUAACUUGAGUGCAAGAGGGGAGAGUGGAAUUCCAUGUGUAGCGGUGAAAUGCGUAGAUAUAUGGAGGAACACCGGUGGCGAAAGCGGCUCUCUGGCUUGUAACUGACGCUGAGGCUCGAAAGCGUGGGGAGCAAACAGG
rnacentral:rRNA from 1 species